rfam:Trichobilharzia regenti genome assembly, scaffold: TRE_scaffold0000985
GUACUGCUGAAGAGUCCCAAACUAGGACGAAGCAGUUAGCUGUCCAGUAC